CUGAACCAGCUAGUGAUGUAAAGGCGGUUCUACAGCACCCACGAGCGAUGCAAGCAGCCAGUCUUGGUGGCGUGAGGGUCUCCACAUGAAUAUAACUGUUCUAUUUUUUCUGCAUGUUAUUGGCGGCUAGAAUGAAACUGACCAAUCAGAAGCAAUGUCACAAUCUUGACACAAGUCAAACACAAAUGCCUGUGGAACAUGGACGAUGAGAAACUGAUUCUUGAAGUGCAGCGGUGCCUUCUGCUCUACAAUUGCUUAUUAAGUGCAUAUAAAGACAACACUAAAAGGGCAAUGAAGAACAUCACAGGCAUUAUUGAUGUGUCUGAACAGGAGAAAGGGCUGCGAGGCGUAAGCCCUGGAACUUGAAAUAGGAAUUAUGUGCUUGUGACUUUAGGAAGAUGCUUUCCCCUUGGCUUGUGGAGAGCUGUCCUCAAGUAGGUGAGAGAAAUCUGCUCGUCCCCCAAAGCUGGGAAGCAAACGUUACUUCCCCCAAGGCGAAAAUAAAGAGAAGGAUAGAGGAUACGUUUGAGAAGACUAGAAGUCGCCCCAGCUAAAGGAACGCCUACACUUUGGGAUAUUGGCGCAGCCAGACCUCCGAGACAGAGCCAAGCGGGGAGACAGGAAUUCUGAAAGAGAGAAGGAAAUGAACAUGCAAAGGGGGCAAAGAGGAACACUGGCAUAGGUGAAAGCAAGUUGCUAGUAAACAAUACAAGGUUUCCCCUGGCUCGGGGAGAGCCGCCCUCUAGUAGGUGAGACCUAACCAAUCGGCCUCCAAGGCAGGAGAGCAUGUAUGCUGCCCCCAGGGGAUACUGGAAUGAUAGAGAGACUGUUAAGAUAGAUUUGGCAGGGGGUCCCCUCUGGUUCUCAAAGAACAUUCCUCUUGGAGGUCGAGGCCAACUCCGUUGGGCUGAAGGUUGGAAAGUAAAUGUCACCUGCCAUCAGAAGAGGACCCCCGGCAUCUACGCCACCAAUGCAAGCAGAAAGGUUAAUAAGAAAAUAAAGUGCUAAUUAGCCCUAUUAGAACGACCAUGUACAGGACCGACCCAGAUACAACGAUCUCAGUACUGAUUGACACUGAACUUUCUUCAGUGUCAAGUGUGUUAUU